CAUGGCCAGCGGACAGGCCGGUCGCGGCGCGGCGGCACACGCAUUCGAAAAAUAUAUUCUCUGGAAAUCCCUGUCGACGAAGAUGUCGUUGGACAGCCGCCGGGACCACCUCGCCAGUAUUGGGGAUGCACAGGACUCGUACUCGUCAUAACCUCUGAGCGACUCGUCGCAACCUACGUUCCCGAGAGGCCGGGAAAUCUGCGAAGACGGACGCGACGUAUUUGUCGGCGAAUACAGCGGCUCCUCCAUCCACCGUUUCCACCUCUUGCUGCUACUGCUGUUCCUCCUCAUCGCUUCUUUCUCGCAACGUGCCUCUGUCGAGUACAUCCUUGCGCCCCUUGAAGCAAGGACCUCGUCGAGGGUGCCGGUCGCGGAGUAUACGACGGCGAAGAAACCGCCGUUUUCGCGUCGCGAGUGUUCUGGCAUCUUUCAACAACAGAAAAGACGAGAGAUGCUGGUUGUGUAUCCUGAGACUCCUUUCCUGAGAACAGCACCAGCAGCAACAACAACAGACUAGUUCAAGGUAAAGUGAAACAAAGCUCUGUUGAACGUAACGUCUCGGUGCAUCUCCCGUUAAAACGAAAUAUGAAAUAACUGUGACAUUUUCCACACGGUUAUCGGGAAAAUUUAAUUUGCUUAUAUACCACAUGUUGAAAUAAUUGUGUUUAAAGACUCGAACAUAUUUAUCUUAUAAAACACAUUGAUUUUGCAAUAUUCGCGUUUUAAAACUAGUGUGCGUAAAUAAAACUGGAGCGCACCGUGAUUUUUUUCCAUUAAACUUCUCAUUGUUUUUCGCGGUACUUUCUCAUCCAUUUUGCAAUCUGUUUAACUAUUAAUUUUACACUGAGAGAAAAAAUCUGAAAAAUAAAUGUUUAUUCGGUACCAAUAAUCUCUAUUUAUUUAAACUUGGUUUUCUCAUAGAAUAAAUUUAAAUAGAAUCAACAACUGCUUUCAGUGAAAAGUUAAAGUUUAGAGAAAAUGUAUUUUUAUCUGAGAAAUAUGUCAUAUUUUCACUUACAUAUUUCAUACACAAGUAAAUAUGUUGGUAGU